GAUUUCUGGUUUAAUGCGCCUAACCCGCUACGGUUACGUAUGUGAGUGUUGGGUCGUGUUUGCCAUCCUUCUAGAGAACGUGUCUACUCUUAACUGAGCCGGGCAUGCAAUCUAGAUCUUUUACUUUGAAAAAAUUAGAGUGUUUAAAGCAGGCUUUUGCUAUGAAUACAUUAGCAUGGAAUAAUAAUUUAGGACUUCGGUUCUAUUUUGUUGGUUUCUAGGACUGAAGUAAUGAUUGAUAGGGAUAGUUGGGGGUGCUCGUAUUCAGUGGCCAGAGGUGAAAUUCUCGGAUUCACUGAAGACGAACUUAUGCGAAAGCAUU
rnacentral:rRNA from 2 species